GACGAACGCUGGCGGCGUGCUUAACACAUGCAAGUCGAACGGAAAGGCCCUGCUUUUGUGGGGUGCUCGAGUGGCGAACGGGUGAGUAACACGUGAGUAACCUGCCCUUGACUUUGGGAUAACUUCAGGAAACUGGGGCUAAUACCGGAUAGGAGCUCCUGCUGCAUGGUGGGGGUUGGAAAGUUUCGGCGGUUGGGGAUGGACUCGCGGCUUAUCAGCUUGUUGGUGGGGUAGUGGCUUACCAAGGCUUUGACGGGUAGCCGGCCUGAGAGGGUGACCGGCCAAAUUGGGACGGGGAUACGGCCCAGACUCCUACGGGAGGCAGCAGUGGGGAAUAUUGCACAAGGGGCGGAAGCCUGAUGCAGCAACCCCGCGUGCGGGAUGACGGCCUUCGGGUUGUAACCGCUUUCGCCUGUGACGAAGCGUGAGUGACGGUAAUGGGUAAAGAAGCACCGGCUAACUACGUG
rnacentral:rRNA from 1 species